AUGCUUCUCCAGGAAAUGCUCAAUGGUUUUGGUUUUAGAUGAUCAUAACCAGUGAGCUAAUCCAUGUUUUUAGCUGCUAACAAUGCUGUCACUGAACAAUUUGCGGAUUAUGUGCACACCACAGGCUCUUCAGCAUUCACAUACAUUAUUGGCGAACAGACAAUGCGUAUCUAAGGCUUCCUCUUUUUUUAUGCAAAACUAUACAACAACUCGAUCACAAGCAGUAAGGACACUAGGCACAACAACGGCAUAGAUUUCAGAUCACAGAAUGAAAGUAAGGUGAAACAUGUCAAUUCACUGGAAAGGACUUUCUGCACAGCGUCUGUAAAACUGAACUGUUAGAACUGUAGAGAAUUUCUGCACAGCGUCUGUAAAGCUGAACUGUAGACAGUCUGUUGAACAAACUCCAGCCUUCUUCUGUUUAUAUUGUAAUUUUGUCCAGCCUCCAGAUGAGGGAGUAUCCUUCCAGAUUAUGGAUUGCUGGAGCUGAAGAUCAUGCACAUAGAAGAGGGGACGGAUAAUGGGGCCACUCCUAUGUUUCUUAUGGAGUUGAUGGAGAUAACGAAGCUCUGGAUGAGGCAUAGAGCAAAGAAGAAACGGACAAGAUAGGUGCCUCUAUGAAAGAGAAAUUGAAAGACUUGACUGAACAAAUAGAUCCAUCACUGCACAAAGGAGAGCUUCAAGCUGCCAAAGCACUUCUCGCCCAAAUGAAAUACUUUGCGAGCAUUGAAGACAAGCAUUGAAGACAAGGUGAAUGUGUACUCGGGCAAGGGACCCAGCUCCACCACAUCGGAAGGAAGAGACCCAGCUCCACCUCAUCCCACUGCGUUGUCCAUUGUUUUUAAGGUGAUGUACAGAAUGUUGGCUUUAUCCCUUACAUUAUCUGCCACUGUUAAAGGUUCCAUGUUGCCUCCAACCUAUUAUCUUAUCACUUUCUGUUGUUAUUUUCUUGAAUAUGGCAUUACAUGGCCUCCCCCACUUAUUUUCUUCUCAUGAAUAUGGCAUUACUUCUUACUGAGUGCACAUAUGUCCUCUUUGUUAUUCCACCCAUCCCGGCUCUAGCCAUGAGGCCCUGGACCCCAACACAGUGUUAGGCCAAAGAAGUGAACUCCUGCCAGCACUAGACUGCACUCAAGCUGUAGUGCGUCUGUUCUGUUGACCCUAACCUUGUUGUUGUUUACAAACAACAUUCUGAACAUAUUUUGAGCUAUUUAUACUCUAUGCCACUUUCCCUCUAAUGUGGAACAUUAAACACAGAUAGGAAGUUGUGACUAAUGGCAGUGGGAUGAUAGGGUCAUUGCAUAAGGUUAACAAGUGGUUUGUCAGUGCAUAAUUUGUACCACCAGUGCCAUCAAAAUGGUGCCCUGUAGGCAUAGGAAGCUUGCAAACAUUGACAUGCAGUGAUAUGAUAGGCGAUCUGAAUCUGAGCCAAACGCAUUUAGAUACAACUCGUGUUCACUGUUUGUUGUGGGGUUGUUUUUCCAAUUACAGUAUUGAAUAAUUAAAAAAACAUUACCACAGGGGUUCUAUUGCAUUCUCUAUUGUAUCUGGCUGCAGUUUUUAUGUUGUGUAAAAAAAAUAUAAAAAAACACUGUCCGGGUCUGUUUUCAACGUGAAGGGGACCUGGUUCACAGCUUGACGUUUAUUGUAAUGAAUCUUUAUGCUAGAUGAGCCAGCUGCAAAGUCAAAUAUAUCGUAAAAAGUCAUGAAAGAAAAACUUGCAUUUUGGUCUUAAAUGAAAUUUUAUUUUCUACAAGCAAAUCUUUAUUUUUUAUGUAAAUCAAAUGUUAUAGAAGGGUCCAGACACCGUUUUAGUGAUUUCAAUUGAUUUUGAGAAACAAAAAUCACCACCUCAUCGUUGUUUAGUAUGAGGGUCCUGAAAUAACAUGAACCAAGGCUCCAAAAAGACCCAAAUACGUCCUGUUAGAAACUA